rnacentral:rRNA from 1 species
GCUCAACCCCGAGCGGCCAUUGGAAACUGGGGAGCUUGAGUGCAGAAGAGGAGAGUGGAAUUCCACGUGUAGCGGUGAAAUGCGUAGAGAUGUGGAGGAACACCAGUGGCGAAGGCGACUCUCUGGUCUGUAACUGACGCUGAGGCGCGAAAGCGUGGGGAGCAAACAGGAUUAGAUACCCUGGUAGUCCACGCCGUAAACGAUGAGUGCUAGGUGUUAGGGGUUUCGAUGCCCGUAGUGCCGAAGUUAACACAUUAAGCACUCCGCCUGGGGAGUACGGCCGCAAGGCUGAAACUCAAAGGAAUUGACGGGGACUCGCACAAGCAGUGGAGCAUGUGGUUUAAUUCGAAGCAACGCGAAGAACCUUACCAGGUCUUGACAUCCUUUGACCACCCAAGAGAUUGGGCUUCCCCUUCGGGGGCAAAGUGACAGGUGGUGCAUGGUUGUCGUCAGCUCGUGUCGUGAGAUGUUGGGUUAAGUCCCGCAACGAGCGCAACCCUUGAUCUUAGUUGCCAGCAUUGAGUUGGGCACUCUAAGGUGACUGCCGGUGACAAACCGGAGGAAGGUGGGGAUGACGUCAAAUCAUCAUGCCCCUUAUGACCUGGGCUACACACGUGCUACAAUGGAUGGUACAAAG